rnacentral:rRNA from 1 species
CACCGCGGUUAUACGAGAGGCCCAAGUUGAUAGACAUCGGCGUAAAGAGUGGUUAAGUAACCCACCCCAACUAAAGCCGAACGCCUCCAAGACUGUAAUACGUGUUCGGAGGUAUGAAGCCCAACUACGAAAGUGGCUUUAAAAAAGCUGACCCCACGAAAGCUGGGAAA